AGGGCCUCCACACCCAGCAGGAGAGAACCCACAGGCAGCCGGCCCCCUCCGCCUCUUCCCCCACCCAUUACGGCUCCUCCUAAGGCUUUCCAACAAAAUCGGCCUCCACUCACUUGGGAAGGUUUCCUGGGGCUCCGCAUCAGGGCUCCGGGCGCCCGACCUGCUGGCUUUCUCACCGGGCAGUUUCAGGAGUUGAGCGAGUUACUUGACCUCUCCAUGCCUCCAAUCCUCACCAGUGGAAGAAGGAUAAUAAUAGUAACUCCCUCACGGGGUGCAACCGGGAUGAAGUGAGUUCAUAUUUGCAAAGCGAUUAAAACAGCACUCGGCACACAGUGAGAAACUGUGCUGUAAGAGGUUAUAACCCUGCACCUGGCCAGGGAUGGAGCUGGACCUUGAAACCCAACCUUCUGACCACAAACUGCC